GAUUUGCCUUCGAACGGGCCACAAAGGGACGCGGCAGCCGCGGUGGGAGGAGCGCGAGCGAGAGAGGCGCCGCCGUUACGGAGCUGACGGGGCGCGCCGGAGACGAGUAAUGUUGAGUAUGAGUCUUGUUAUGAUUAGCGAGAAUGUAAAACUGGCCCGUGAAUAUGCGUUGCUGGGAAACUAUGAUUCUGCAAUGGUCUACUACCAAGGAGUACUUGACCAAAUGAAUAAAUACCUCUACUCUGUCAAAGAUGCAUAUCUGCAACAGAAAUGGCAACAGGUUUGGCAGGAGAUAAGUGUGGAAGCUAAGCACGUGAAGGAUAUAAUGAAAACACUGGAAAGCUUUAAAUUAGAUUGCACUCCCUUGAAAGCAGCACAGCAAGAAUUACCAGCUCGUGAUGGAGAAGUGUGGUCCUUGCCCGUUCCAGCUGAACGUAGACCUUCUCCAGGAGCCAGAAAACGUCAGUCUGUUCAGUGCAAUGAUUGCAGAGGUCACAAUAACCGUGUAAGUGCAGCUGUCAGAGGCCCUCACCGGCCCGCCUCUCGAAAUCCUAAUGAUAAAGGGAAAGCAGUCCGUGGCCGAGAAAGGAAGGAUCAGCAGAAUAAAGGAAGAGAGGAAAAGAACAAGUCGUCGUCUGAUGUUUCAGAAUCUGAGCCAAAGAGGUUUGACGGUACUGGGUAUGAUAAAGACUUAGUAGAAGCUUUGGAAAAAGAUAUUAUUUCUCAAAAUCCCAAUAUUCGAUGGGAUGAUAUAGCUGACUUAGUUGAUGCCAAAAAAUUGCUCAAAGAAGCUGUAGUCUUACCAAUGUGGAUGCCAGAAUUCUUUAAGGGAAUUAGAAGACCAUGGAAGGGUGUGCUGAUGGUUGGUCCACCUGGUACUGGAAAGACUCUUCUUGCAAAAGCUGUAGCUACUGAAUGCAAAACAACAUUUUUCAACAUCUCAUCAUCAACACUUACUUCAAAAUACAGAGGAGAAUCUGAGAAACUUGUCCGCCUGCUGUUUGAAAUGGCUCGAUUUUAUGCACCAACAACUAUAUUUAUUGAUGAGAUAGACUCUAUCUGUAGUCGCAGAGGAACCUCGGAGGAGCAUGAAGCCAGCCGACGGGUGAAGGCAGAACUACUGGUUCAGAUGGAUGGUGUUGGAGGGGCUGCUGAAAAUGAUGAUCCUUCCAAAAUGGUUAUGGUACUUGCUGCUACUAAUUUUCCUUGGGAUAUUGAUGAGGCCCUAAGACGACGACUAGAAAAGAGAAUUUACAUUCCUUUACCAUCAGCAAAAGGCAGAGAAGAACUCUUACGGAUAAACCUGCGGGAGUUGGAACUGGCUGACGAUGUUGACCUUGGAAAUAUAGCUGAAAAAAUGGAAGGUUAUUCUGGUGCAGAUAUUACCAAUGUAUGCAGGGAUGCCUCACUGAUGGCUAUGAGAAGACGAAUUGAGGGCUUGACACCAGAAGAAAUAAGAAAUCUUUCCAGGGAUGAAAUGCACAUGCCGACAACUAUGGAAGAUUUUGAAAUGGCUUUAAAAAAGGUUUCUAAAUCAGUAUCUGCUGCGGACAUUGAGAAAUAUGAAAAAUGGAUUGUUGAAUUUGGAUCAUGCUAAGUCUUCCUAACCAAACUUUCCUGGGAAACCUGUCUUAAAACAUCUUCAGAAGUAAUUAAAGCACAGAAGCCGGUCAUCUUUGUGCUUGUUAGAGUCUGAUACUGCGAAUCUCAACACAGGAAGAAUAAGAUUCACUCAACAGUGGUUCCAAUUCAUUUUCAGUAAGUUUUGCCCUUUUAAAUGUUCCUGAUUCUGUUAAAAAAUUGUGACAUGAGUAAGGUGCAAAAACCUGAAACUUGUAACAGUUAAUAAAUUAAAUGUAAGUCUGAAGUGAACUAAGACUUCACUUAAGAUACAUUGGGAAAAGCAUUUCCUUAGAUAUGCUGUACAACACUGAUUAAUAUCCAGACUAUUUUGCCAGCACUGCUGCUGAGCCAGGGUUGCAGUCAACUCACUCUACAAGUGUUGCAAUUGUCUUUAGAAAGUGGAGACCAAGGGCAUUAAACAUAUCUGGCACACUUUCUAUUUAAA